rnacentral:rRNA from 1 species
AGAACGAACGCUGGCGGCAGGCUUAACACAUGCAAGUCGAGCGCCCCGCAAGGGGAGCGGCAGACGGGUGAGUAACGCGUGGGAACAUACCCUCCGGUUCGGAAUAGCUCAGGGAAACUUGGAUUAAUACCGGAUACGGCCUAGCGGCGAAAGAUUCAUCGCCGGAGGAUUGGCCCGCGUCUGAUUAGCUAGUUGGUGGGGUAAUGGCCCACCAAGGCGACGAUCAGUAGCUGGUCUGAGAGGAUGAUCAGCCACAUUGGGACUGAGACACGGCCCAAACUCCUACGGGAGGCAGCAGUGGGGAAUAUGGGCAAUGGGCGCAAGCCUGAUCCAGCCAUGCCGCGUGAGUGAUGACGGCCUUAGGGUUGUAAAGCUCUUUCGCUAGGGACGAUAAUGACGGUACCUAGACAAGAACGCCCGGACUAACUUCGUGCCAGCAGCCGC